UAUAAUAUAAUCAUUAUAUAAUUAUAUAUUAUAUAAUAUUAUUAUAUAAUAAUAUAUGUUUUGCAUUUACAUAGUUCCUUUAAUCUGAUUUUGUCUGUCAGCCAGACUCAUUCCCCAGCUAUUCUUUAUGCAAAAGUUCUAUAGAACUGAAAAUAAGGAAUUCUGUCCCUUCUGUAGAAUUUCAACCAAUUGUUUUCAAACCCACGCGAACACUGCAAACAACAUAUAGAAAAGAUCCCAUUCUAUUUCAAUGGAAGCCUAUAUGUUUUGUUCCUAUUCUUUUUCAGAGGCCUUUCCCAUAAGCAAUCUUCUGAAGCUGUUGUUUUUUACGGCGGUCGUGCCACAGACAGCGUGUCUCUUAAGGCAGGAGCAUCUUUUUAGGUUCUGUGAAUUUGAUUCAGUUAAAUUGAUUUUCCCUCCUUUCCCCCACCCACAGUCCAGUGCUAACAAUUACCUUUGUCUCUUCUGCUAUACUGACUUGAGCUACAUUCGUACAGCGUAACCGGUUCCAGGAAGGGUCAGUCCUGGGACAGGAGAGCUUGAAGAGACUUCUAAGUGAUGCAGGCUACAAUGGGAAUGAUCCAAAAUCUGGCAUUCUUUCCUCUCUGAACAUUACAGAAGCAGUCCCUCCACCUGGUGUUAAGCGGGAAUUGUGCUUCUAGAAGUGCCUGAGAUUUAAAACCAAGGUCCUGACCACUUUAGGCCAGUAAAGAUAGGAUGCACUGAUGCAAGUGUGUUUCCUCUGUAUUGCAGCUUCUACAGUGCCCUUAGAGGGAACCAAAGCAUGAAGGGUGCAUCCAAGUGGGACUAACCGCGGGAGAAGGUGGCAGCAAGAACCUGGUGGAGUGCAGAAGCCCCUUUUGACAUAGCAAGCUGUGUUAGUGCAGAGAAUCUGGACCAUAGUUCAAAACUGUGUUGAGUCGGGCUUGUCCACUCUUCCAUCAAAGCUUUGUGUGUGUGACUGCGAACUGGGUUUGUAACUCAAUGAAAUUAUUUUGCAGAAAGUGUCUGUUUUCCCUUGAAAUUUUUCAUUUUUCUUAUUGUUGGAAAAGGAAGAGCCUGAAACAUGAAGAAUGUUUGGGUUUCGACAAAAAGUCAAAAUUUUCAGCGACAUUCAAGAGCCUGCCAUUUUCGCAGGCAUAAUUUGACAUAAUUUAGGAUUUGCCCAUUUCUCCAAUGAGCCCCACUUUUAUUUUUCCCAAUUACAAAAAGCAUCCCACAUUUGUUGUAUACAUUGGUGGUUGCUGUGGUAGGGGACAUGUCGCCAGGUACCAGGUGCUUUAUCGUCACAGAAGCAUUUUUAAUAGAGAUGGAAGCUUCCGUUGACCAACACAGGAACAACAAAAAAAAAUACAAAACAUCAUCUCCGGCUGCACAGCAUUCAUGAAUUAACACCAUAUUCAAUCACAAGCAGAAAUAUACUUCACCAUAAAUAAAUUUAAAUUCAUUGUACAAAAAACCCCAAGUAGCUCUUCGUACAAAUAUGGUACAUUGGAUAAGUGUUCUUGCAAACAUUUUUUUUUAAAUGUUCAAGAACAAAUUUUUGCUCUGGUUCACAAACACAUAAACCAACUGAACUGGAAUAAUACAGGAGAAAAAGGACGAGAGUGUUCACCACUCCUAAUAAGUGUUGUUAGAGAAAAGAAUGCCAUUGAAGUAGAGUUUGAGUUGGUUUGAUUUCCCCUUUCUACUGGGCUGCUCAAAAUCAAGUACAUCAUCAUCAUCAUCAAGGAAUGGGGCUGUGCACUGCAAAUACUCAUAUUUCAUAGAUUUUUAAUGCAUGAAGGGAUCAUUAUGAUAAUCUAGUCUGACCUCCAGCAUAACUCAGGCCACAAUAUUUUAUCCACUAAUUGCUGCAUCAAACCCAACAACUUCUGUGUACAUAUAAAGAAGACAUAGAUCCAGUUUUAAUUUAAAGGCUCUGAGGGUAUGUCUACAUUGCAAUGUAAGCCCAGGGUUAGCAGAACUUCAGUGAGCAGACCAUGUGGUUGUUAACCUAGGCCUUGAGAGUCUACACUCAUUUGUAACCCCUGGUUAGGAAUUGUUGAACCCUGGGUCUCAAUCUGGGGCGCCAGCAUCUACACUGCAUUAUUCGGACCCGAGUCCAACAACCCAUCUCCCAGACUUGCUAGUGCCCCUCCUCCCCAAAAUGUGGCUGCUCUAGCCCUUUGUUUGUGGUGCAGAGUGGAGAAAUCUGACUGUCCAGAAGACAUAGAAAGUUAGCCCAUGGGAUUGUAGGAUACUUUUGGUGGAUACCCAGAGCAAGGAUCCAAGCCCUGUGUUAGCACAAUUUGUGUGUAGACGGUAGGAGGGUUAGGCUUGAACCUGAGUUCAAACCCUGGGCUUACUCUGCAGUGUAGACAUAUCCCAAGUGCUGGAGGAUUUACCACAUCCUUUGGUAAUCUGUUCCAGCGGUUAAUUACCCUCACUGUUAAUAAUUUGCACCUUAAAGACUAAAGAUUAUUAGAUUAAAAAGAACAAGCAAAACAGAAAAGGUUGUCCAGUUCAUUCAAUGGCCCUAUCUUAAAACCCUUACUAAAUAUGUAGUCAAAGAGGCUUUGAGAACAGGAGCUAAGAUCUACACAACUGACUUGCAUCCUUUUGGUAGAAAAGGGUAUUGAAAUUCAAGUUGCAUGAAUAAAGGUUGUAUGACUGAGCCCUUGCUGCCAUCCCACACUACUUGAGCAACAGUGUAAAACACCCGCGUAAACCCUACAGCUGAAAUAUACUCUGUUUUAAUCAUACGGCUUUGGUUUCCUGCUCAUAAUUUUUUAUUCUUCCCCCCCUCCCCCUCCCCCAACAGGUCCUGAGAAGGGUUGGGAGGUCAUUUUGUUCAAGCAAAUUUCCCAUGCGUGGACAACAGACACAUAUAUUGGUCCAUGCAUUCCAUUUCAGCUCAUCCAACUGUGCUUUAUAGUCCUCAAGAAUUAAUCCCCUAAAACAACAGCAAAAGAACAUUACAUUUCACAAGCUGAUGUUCAUACAUGGUGAAAUACACCACAACUCAUUCAGAGCCUAAGUGCUGGCAGACAGGCUUUAAUCGCAUAAAGCCAAUUACGUCUAGCUGCUGGAGCUAGGCUGUGUGGUACACUUCACCCUUAUGUAUUAAACUUGUAGUGUUUUGUGCCACAACCAGGCCCACCGACAGAAAUUCCGGGCCCCUAGGGAGGUGAAGCCCAGGGUGGAAGUGACGAAUUCGUCAUUUCCAGGACCGCCCACGAUAGCCAAUUGCAUUGGCCUGCAGGGCCCCCCAAAACAUGGGGCCCGCAGCAGUUGUGCGCACCUAGGAGGCCUGCAGGCUUGGACUGCGACCCCUCUUCUCCCUCCUGCUGGGGGGAGGGGAGGCCUCGGGCUUCGGCCCCACCCGAGGUGGCGGGGCUUGGGCUCCGUGCCAUUCCUGGGGUCAUGCAGUAACUUUGUUGUCAGAAGGGGGUCGUGGUGCAAUGAAGUUUGAGAACCCCUUUAGCCCAAUAAAAAAUACCAUUUAGGAUCUUUCCUGUCAUCUCAUCUCAUUUCACACACAAAAAAUAACAUUCCUGAUGUCCCCACUCUGCUAACCCAGAUUUUUUACAUGUAUGUAGGUCCACUGACUUCAGUGUAGUAACAUCAGGCUGAUGUAACAGAGCGGGAACCAGGCCUUUCAUCCUUAGUAGAGGAGCAGUUAUCAUAUAUAAAGCAGAACCUUCCGAUGUUUGUGUCCUUGAACAUGCUGUUCUUCUUCCAGAUGGGAUGGAAAAAAAUCCACCCUCUCAGACUCAAGUCUUUUCCUGCCUGAUGAUUUGAUUAAAUGAUCUGAGAUGAUUUCCCUCAACCUUCAUGUUAGUUUCAGAUUAAAAUGCACCAGAGAUUUUCUUUUUGUAGCUUAAACAGCUGCCUCAGGAAACUCAAGGUGGCCAAUAUGCCCAGCAGCACUUGAGGGGGAUAUUCACUGGUUGCCAGGGAAACAGAGGUGGAUGCUCUCUGGGAGAACAAAGGCAUCUCCCAUCAGAAAUUCACCUCUAGCCAACAAUAUUGAGUUGGCUGCUGGUCUCAAAGACAGAACGUUCCAGACAUGACACCUCUUCAGCUGAUCUCCUUUCUGUUCCCUCUGACGGAAUAACUGCUCGCUGUCUCUGGCUUCGCAGCAUUUGUGAAAGCAGUGCAUUGUCCACAGUAAGAUGAACCGAGUGUCUGGGUUGUGUUGAGCUACAGUGCAUCAACAUUGCUGUAUUACAUAAUGGCAAAGGUCUGAUUUAACCUAAAUAAAAUCAAGAAAUUAAAA